GAACCUACGGGAGGCAGCAGGGGGGAAUAUUGGGCAAUGGGCGCAAGCCUGACCCAGCAACGCCGCGUGAAGGAAGAAGGCUUUCGGGUUGUAAACUUCUUUUCUCAGGGACGAAGCAAGUGACGGUACCUGAGGAAUAAGCCACGGCUAACUACGUGCCAGCAGCCGCGGUAAUACGUAGGUGGCAAGCGUUAUCCGGAUUUACUGGGUGUAAGGGGCGUGUAGGCGGGAAAGCAAGUCAGAUGUGGAAACCACGGGAGCAACC
rnacentral:rRNA from 1 species